rnacentral:rRNA from 2 species
UCCUACGGGAGGCAGCAGUAGGGAAUCUUCCGCAAUGGACGAAAGUCUGACGGAGCAACGCCGCGUGAGUGAUGAAGGCUUUCGGGUCGUAAAACUCUGUUGUUAGGGAAGAACAAGUGCUAGUUGAAUAAGCUGGCACCUUGACGGUACCUAACCAGAAAGCCACGGCUAACUACGUGCCAGCAGCCGCGGUAAUACGUAGGUGGCAAGCGUUAUCCGGAAUUAUUGGGCGUAAAGCGCGCGCAGGUGGUUUCUUAAGUCUGAUGUGAAAGCCCACGGCUCAACCGUGGAGGGUCAUUGGAAACUGGGAGACUUGAGUGCAGAAGAGGAAAGUGGAAUUCCAUGUGUAGCGGUGAAAUGCGUAGAGAUAUGGAGGAACACCAGUGGCGAAGGCGACUUUCUGGUCUGUAACUGACACUGAGGCGCGAAAGCGUGGGGAGCAAACAGGAUUAGAUACCCUGGUAGUCCACGCCGUAAACGAUGAGUGCUAAGUGUUAGAGGGUUUCCGCCCUUUAGUGCUGAAGUUAACGCAUUAAGCACUCCGCCUGGGGAGUACGGCCGCAAGGCUGAAACUCAAAGGAAUUGACGGGGGCCCGCACAAAGCGGUGGAGCAUGGUGGUUUUAAUUUCGAA